rnacentral:rRNA from 1 species
AUUGAACGCUGGCGGCAGGCUUAACACAUGCAGGUCGAGCGGAGAUGAGGUGCUUGCACCUUAUCUUAGCGGCGGACGGGUGAGUAAUGCUUAGGAAUCUGCCUAUUAGGGGGGGACAACAUUCCGAAAGGAAUGCUAAUACCGCAUACGCCCGACGGGGGAACGCAGGGGAUCUUCGGACCUUGCGCUAAUAGAUGAGCCUAAGUCGGAUUAGCUAGUUGGUGGGGGAAAGGCCUACCAAGGCGACGCCCAGUAACUGGUCUGGGAGGAUAAUCAGUCACACCGGAACUGAGACACGGCCCAGACUCCUACGGGAGGCAGCAGUGGGGAAUAUUGGACAAUGGGGGGAACCCUGAUCCAGCCAUGCCUCGUGUGGGAAGAAGGCCUUAUGGUUGUAAAGCACUUUAAGCGAGGAGGAGGCUACUGAGACUAAUACUCUUGGAUAGUGGACGUUACUCGCAGAAUAAGCACCGGCUAACUCUGUGCCAGCCGCCGCCGUAAUAC